rnacentral:lncRNA from 1 species
CUUUGUUCUUUUAAUUUGGAAUGACUCAAACUCCACAUACUCAAAGAAUAUUCCUAUACUAAACUGUUCUCUUCCCUAUAGAUUUCCUAAAUAGAUUAUAUGAAGCUGAACUCUUUCUGACAACUUUCUAGUUACCAAUGACUACAAAAAACUUUACACAUUUAUAUGCAUACAACUGGCCAUAUUUAUUCUACUGAUUUUUGCUACUACACUUCAAUGAUAAUACUAUAGUCUCUCACCAAACUUAAGUGAGAUUUGCCAUGAGUAAUAAUUCCAUUUAAUGAAUAGGCAGCACUAUGGUUGCCCAUUUGUUAAAUGGAAUGUAUCCAAAUGGGCAGCCCUGUGGUUGGCCUCUUCGCUGAACUGGUCAUUAGAUCAAAACAAAAAUAGCUUUCCAUACUCCAGAACAAAAUUCAAUUAUACCUCUGAUAUAUUGAUGAUGUACAAUAAAAUCCCAUUUAACACGAGGGAUACGUUCCAAAAAAACCAAGCAUUAAACAAAGUCAUCUUAACAUAUAAAUAAUGAGACAGAUGAAACAGGACAGUGAAU